UCUUGGUAUGAGAUGCCAUGCCUACUUUCCUCGCUCUGAUGGUUCUCUAGGCUUGGAGAUACAAUUACUCUGAUUCCUUGGCCUGAAUCCUACUUCUAAUGGAAUCGGGGUAUUCAACCUCUGGAAGAAGAUUAGGACCAUGCUGUAUUUUUUCUCCUCCUGGAAAUAGCAGUAAGGAAAAGAGAAUAUACAUUAUCAUGGAGUAAAAGCCAAUCUUGUUCACUUGGCCUUAUGGAUCACUUCAUCCACUGAGAGCUGAGAAAAGAGAAGUCCCACUUCCAUGGAGCUGCCAGAAGAGCUGUGUCAGCUGGCAGACAUCCAGAAGCUGAGAAGGGAGAAAGCAAUAAAAGACUAAAGAAUGAAUGAGGAUAGUCUUUUGAUCAAACCAGCCAUGGCAUUUAACAGAGAAACAAUGCACAGAAGGAUGGAAACUACAGAGAUUAUGGGGAUUGCUUUCCCACAAACAAAAAAGCAGGAUCUCAAAUCACAUCCUUCAACAAUCAAGGAUGUACUUUGUCAAAGCAGAGCUUGAAAAUCAAAYUGACAUGGUAAAAUCUGUGGAAGGACCUUAAACUGAACUCAGGUGGACUGUAUGAAUUUAAUUUCUGACACAGGCAACUUGAACUUAGAUAGAGUGUUUGGAGACAUCAAGGUGAAAAAAGGGGCUAUAUCUCUUGCACAGGUGUCAAACAAAAGCUCCUGACUUCAUCAUAUUGGGUAAUUCAACAUCCCAUUGCUGAAUGGAAAUAAUGAUGGUCUCACUUUCAGAGGAAAUUCCUGCUGUAUCCGUUCUUUUCUAGGUCUAUUUUUGAGAUCCAUUUUUUUUCCAAGAGCUAUUUUUGAUUUUAAAGAGUGACUUCUAUUUUUCUUGUAUUGUUAUUAGACCACUUUCUUAAAUUGUUUCUUCUCUUACCUGCUGCAGCUAUGUAAAAUUCUCAUUAGAGCAGCUUCCUACUGAAAUUUGCAGACUACCAGCACCAUUGUUUGCUAGCACUGCUGCAUCCAACUCGUGUGGAUAAGGCCGUUAACACCAUUGUUCUGUGUGUCUAUUGACAAGUGUGUGUAAAUAGCAGUCCCACCCCAAGCAAAAUAAGGUAGUAAGGUGAAACUACUAUUCUACCACAGGUCAAAAUGAAUGUAGGCCAUGCCUGAGUCCUGGAACAUGCUUUCUGACAUAUCAGUGAACACUGAUGAACAUGGAAUAGGGAAGAAUGGAAAAGGUCAGUGGUCACUGAGCCAACCAGACUGCAGUCUGAGAACAAUCKGGGCAUUAGGCUGCAAAUGUGGGAAUGAUACCAGGUUGGAAGGGAAGUGAUGUCUGCAUGUGAGUACAUGCCAAUACCUGUUCAAGUUUUCUUUGGAUGUAAAUUGGUGUGACUCUGCUUAUGAUGUACCUGCRCAUUUAGAAAAAUAUUUUUAGGGGAAACAUUGGCUUCUUGGUGUGUGGGGUUUUUUUCCCUCUCCCACAACGUACUAGACCAGCAGUAUUUAAAUAGGUCUUUAUUUGAAACUAGAGGCAAGACUUGCUCACUUCUCAGAGACAGAAAAGCUGCCAAGGUUUUCUCCUUGUCAUUUAACUGAAGCAGGACUUUUGCAAGCAGUGAUAGGUUAUCACAGAUCAGUGGGGUAAAAUGAGGAACAUGCAGGCUGUUCCGUCUGACAGAUCAAGAGCACUUAGGUUAUAUAUCCACAACAAAAAUCAUCUGGGUCCCUCCAGUCCAAUAUCACAGAGAAAAUGGUGAUACAUCAGGUAAUGGCAGGAGGGAGGGAAGAGGAGCUGGGAUAUGAAGGCAUCAAGUCUGCGACAUAGAAGAGCAGUAUGGAAUGUCUCUGCAGGAUACAAAGUAAUUGUUGAGGCCACCCUUCUUAGUAAGAGACUGAGCUGCUUUGUCAGCCUCUUCCAAGGACUAAAUCUCUGACUGGAACAGCAUUAUCAUGGAAUAAGGAUUUCCAGAGAGGGACUUUGCAGGCUAAUUGCAUCUGUGCCAGUAUAAUGAUUCAAGCAACAAAACUUUCUUGGGUAAAUAUGGGUGCAGCUUUUCCUUUGGUUCUCUUUUGAGAAUGGGAUAAAGAAAAGAAAUACAUUGGAAUGGAGUCAUCACUCAUUGAUGCACAAAACUAAAAAUUACUAUUUUCUUAAGGACUUUUUUUUAAUGGUCCAUCAGCCAAAAUGACGCUGCUCUGUUUGUCUAAGUGUGAUCCUAACAUGUAACCAAGUCACGCCUGCUUCCUAAAUAAUGCAAUUCUCGGUUGUAGCUAGGGACACAAUUAGCAUCACUGGUCAAGGACAACUCUAAUGAAGUUUCACUGGGACAGUAACAAUGGUCUUAUUUUUAUUUCCAAGUAACUGUGAGGUGGUUUAAGCCCAGCUGGCAAGUAUGCACCAAGUGGAACGAGGCAAGAGAAUCGAAAGUAAAACGUGUAAGUUAGGAAAAGAACAGUUUACUAAUUGAAAACAAAGKAAAAUAUAGUAAUAAAUAACAAGAAYGAAAAUCAAAAGGGAAACAAACAAGCARUGUACAAUACAAUUGCUCACCCCAUGCUGACCAAUGCCAGAUCCCUUUCMUGAAUCCAGAUCAGCCUCGCUUCCAGGUAAAUCCCCUCAGUUAUACUGGGCAURAUGUUCCAUGGUAUGGAAUAUCCUUUUGGUCAGUUCAGGUCAGCUGUCCUGGCUGUGCACCCUCCCAGUUUUUUUUCUUCCUCAAUGGCAGAGGAUAAGACGUAACAAAAAAGUCCUUGACUUAGAAUAAACACAGCUUAGCAAAACUCAAAACAUCAGUUUUUCAUUAUGAAUGCAAAACUCAGCACUGUCCCAGCUACUGAGAAAUUAACUCCAUCCCAGCCCAAACCAGGACACUGGUACCUACGCAGCACUGGAG